UACGGAGGGGGCUAGCGUUGUUCGGAAUUACUGGGCGUAAAGCGCGCGUAGGCGGACCUGCAAGUCGGGGGUGAAAGCCCGAGGCUCAACCUCGGAACUGCCUUCGAUACUGCGGGUCUCGAGUCCGGGAGAGGUGAGUGGAAUUCCUAGUGUAGAGGUGAAAUUCGUAGAUAUUAGGAAGAACACCAGUGGGCGAAGGCGGCUCACUGGCCCGGUACUGACGCUGAGGCGCGAAAGCGUGGGGAGCAA
rnacentral:rRNA from 1 species